CUUUUUCUAAUCCAACGGUCCAAAUUCCAUCUUUCCAAAAUCCCUCAUCUUCCUCAACGCAAUCAUCGCUACCUCCUUCCCCUACUAGCCCCCAAAAUUAGCCCUCCAUUCUCCCUCAAAAAUAACUCCCUCCCUCUCUCUCUCCCAAUAUCAGAAAACAGAUCUACACCUUCCUCUUCCUCAAAUCUCUUUCUUCUUCUCUUCUUGAUCUUCUUCUUCUUCGACUUUCAACAAUGGCGGUUGCACCUUCAUCUCGAGAGGAGAGCAUCUACAUGGCCAAGCUCGCCGAGCAGGCC
rnacentral:misc_RNA from 1 species